GACGAACGCUGGCGGCGUGCUUAACACAUGCAAGUCGAACGGACCGAGUUGAUAGCUUGCUAUUGAUGAGGUUAGUGGCAAACGGGUGAGUAACGCGUAGGCAACCUGCCCUUCAGAUGGGGACAACACCUCGAAAGGGGUGCUAAUACCGAAUGACGUUUCCUGGUCGCAUGACCUGGAAACCAAAGGCCGGGCAACCGGUCACUGAAGGAUGGGCCUGCGUCUGAUUAGCUAGUUGUGGGGUUAACGGCCCGACCAAGGCGACGAUCAGUAGCCGGUCUGAGAGGAUGAACGGCCACAUUGGGACUGAGACACGG
rnacentral:rRNA from 1 species